GAUGAAGAACGCAGCGAAAUGCGAUAAGUAAUGUGGAUUGCAGAAUUCAGUGAAUCAUCGAAUCUUUGAACGCACAUUGCGCCCGCCAGUAUUCUGGCGGGCAUGCCUGUCCGAGCGUCAUUUCAACCCUCAAGCCCCCGGGCUUGGUGUUGGAGAUCGGCGAGCCCCCCGGGGCGCGCCGUCUCCCAAAUAUAGUGGCGGUCCCGCUGUAGCUUCCUCUGCGUAGUAGCACACCUCGCACUGGGAAACAGCGUGGCCACGCCGUAAAACCCCCCACUUCUGAAAGGUUGACCUCGGAUCAGGUAGGAAUACCCGCUGAACUUAAGCAUAUCAAUAAGCGGAGGA
rnacentral:misc_RNA from 1 species